UGCAAGUCGAACGCGAAAGCCCCGCAAGGGGUAAGUAGAGUGGCAAACGGGUGAGUAACACGUGGGUGACCUGCCUUCGAGCGGGGGAUAACGUCCCGAAAGGGACGCUAAUACCGCAUGACAUCCUGCCUUUGAACAGGUGGAGAUCAAAGCUGGGGAUCGCAAGACCUAGCGCUCAAAGAGGGGCCCGCGCCUGAUUAGCUAGUUGGUGGGGUAACGGCUCACCAAGGCGACGAUCAGUAUCCGGCCUGAGAGGGCGGACGGACACACUGGGACUGAGACACGGCCCAGACUCCUACGGGAGGCAGCAGUGGGGAAUUGUUCGCAAUGGGCGCAAGCCUGACGACGCAACGCCGCGUGGAGGAUGAAGAUCUUCGGGUCGUAAACUCCUUUCGAUCGAGACGAAUGAUCUCCGGGUGAACAAUCCGGAGGAAUGACGGUACCGAGAGAAGAAGCCCCGGCUAACUCCGUGCCAGCAGCCGCGGUAAUACGGGGGGGGCAAGCGUUGUUCGGAAUUACUGGGCGUAAAGGGCUCGUAGGCGGCCAACUAAGUCAGACGUGAAAUCCCUCGGCUCAACCGGGGAACUGCGUCUGAUACUGGUUGGCUUGAAUCCGGGAGAGGGAUGUGGAAUUCCAGGUGUAGCGGUGAAAUGCGUAGAUAUCUGGAGGAACACCGGUGGCGAAGGCGGCAUCCUGGACCGGUAUUGACGCUGAGGAGCGAAAGCCAGGGGAGCAAACGGGAUUAGAUACCCCGGUAGUCCUGGCCCUAAACGAUGAAUGCUUGGUGUGGCGGGUAUCGAUCCCUGCCGUGCCGAAGCUAACGCAUUAAGCAUUCCGC
rnacentral:rRNA from 1 species